rnacentral:lncRNA from 1 species
GAACGAAAAACAAUCAGAACACCAAACCCCAACGAUUAAAAUAAUAUAUUUGUUAAACAGAAUAGGAAGAAAACAAAACAAAAAUUUGCAGAGAAAAGAAGGGAAAGAAGAAGAAGAAAAUAACGUCAGAAUGAAAGAAAGAAAGGGGAAUUUUCGGGAAAAAAUUAAAAUUAAAAAAAUUUAAUUCAAACUAAAAUCUCAACUCCCCACAACCCCACUAACUAACAAAUCCCACAAAAACCGAC